rnacentral:rRNA from 1 species
ACGGAGGGCGCAAGCGUUAUCCGGAUUUAUUGGGCGUAAAGCGUACGUAGGCGGCUUGAUAAGUCGGUGGUGAAAGCCCUCGGCUUAACCGGGGAACUGCCUUUGAUACUGUUUGACUUGAGUACGGGAGAGGUUGGCGGAAUUCCGAGUGUAGGGGUGAAAUCCUUAGAUAUCCGGAGGAACACCGGUGGCGAAGGCGGCCACCUGGACAGGUACUGACGCUGAGGUGCGAAAGCGUGGGGAGCAAACAG